AAUUUCUGCCCCCUAUGGAAAAAGUACUCCCAUGAUUCUUCACAUUAUGUAAAAAUGUGUGUGUUUAAUUUCUCUAGAAUGGUUUAAAAGAAGGUG
rnacentral:lncRNA from 1 species